rnacentral:rRNA from 1 species
GACGAACGCUGGCGGCGUGCCUAAUACAUGCAAGUCGAGCGAAGUUUUUCUGGUGCUUGCACCGGAAAAACUUAGCGGCGAACGGGUGAGUAACACGUAAAGAACCUGCCUCAUAGACUGGGACAACUAUUGGAAACGAUAGCUAAUACCGGAUAACAGCAUUAACUGCAUGGUUGAUGUUUAAAAGUUGGUUUUGCUAACACUAUGAGAUGGCUUUGCGGUGCAUUAGCUAGUUGGUGGGGUAAAGGCCUACCAAGGCGACGAUGCAUAGCCGACCUGAGAGGGUGAUCGGCCACACUGGGACUGAGACACGGCCCAGACUCCUACGGGAGGCAGCAGUAGGGAAUCUUCCGCAAUGGGCGAAAGCCUGACGGAGCAACGCCGCGUGAGUGAAGAAGGAUUUCGGUUCGUAAAGCUCUGUUGUUAGGGAAGAAUGAUUGUGUAGUAACUACACACAGUAGAGACGGUACCUAACCAGAAAGCCACGGCUAACUACGUG